GCCCUAGCACCGCCGACAGCCUGGGAGGGGGGACCUGGGCGGGGUCAGGCUGGAGGGGGCGCGGGGCGGGGCGGCCCCGCGGCAGGGCGCCCUGCCGCACCCCGAACCCCAGGGCUGCAGAAAGCACAUGGAGUAGAGACCACGGAAAACAACAGAGAAACCCUGCCGCCGGAAGGCGCCCGAGGAAAGAUCAGCCCAGGUAACGCCUGGUGGUGGUGCAUGGGGGGCUAGGUCCGAACUGUGCGCUGAAAACGGCAGGUGCACACGCGUGUGCACACACACGCGCACACUAACAGAAAUCACACGCGAGGUAGCUUCUCAGGGAGCCGAGUAGGGAGCAGCCCAAGCGGCCAGGGUGAUGACCGUGAUCUAGGUGAGCACUCCAGACCGAGGAGUAAGGACCCUUCAGACCAGACUGCCGAUUUCUAACCGGUCUUCAAAGUCUGCAGCCGGGCGUUCUCCUGACUGGUCCAGAACUUAACAGUCUCCUUCUCCGAGGGCCCCUCACCCCAUGCCGCGGGCUGGGAGUUCUGGGCUGCUACUCCCACCGUGAAGCUCAGAGCUGACUGUGACAGCCACGGGGGUGCAACUAAAAGGCCACCGCAGUGACGGCACCCUGUGUGGGAAAGGAGUCAGAAGAUUUCUCAUGUGACUCACACCUGCUGCAUUCCUAUGACACUGCCCAGCGAAGUACAGCCUGGAAAGAGCUGAGGGCAGAGUCCCCAGCGUUACUCACAGUGACGGACCGCAGGACAGUGCAGUCCACCCGCUGCGGAAAGCACUGAUCUGUGUGCUUCCCGGGAGCCAGCCCGUCUGUGUGAAACUCUCCAAAGGGAAACCUCUAGACAGAAAAGGAUGUGCGUUCCCCAGAGGUGGGAAGAGGAGUGAAAGUCUGCUGAAACUGGAUGGCGAUGACUGAUGAAUAUAAAUUUAUUAAGAACUGAAAGUUUAUAAUUAGUGGGUUUUUAUAGUAUUUAUACUGUAAUAGUAUUUAUACUAUUAUAAAAUUCAGUAGCUCACAGCUACAACCCCAACUAUUCAGGAGGCUGGGACUGGGGAUUUUGAGUUCAAGGCCAGCCUGCACCAUUUCUCAAAAACAAAACAAAACAAAGCCAGGCAUAAUGGCGCAAGCCUGUAAUCCCAGCACUUGGGAGACUAAGCCAGGAGGAUCACUGCAAGUUCAAAACCAGCCAGGGCUACAAAGUGAGCUCAAGGCCAGCCUGAACUGCAUAGCGAGACCAUGUCUCAAAAAGACAAAGAAAAAAAGGCAAAAAAGCUGAUUCUGAAGAGCAGAUUAAGGAAGGCCUUGUUGAGAACAGCAUCCAAAGUCUGGAAAUGAAGCCAGGCUUGGAGGUGUGCACCUAUAACCCUAGUGCUCCAGAGGCUGAGGCAGGAGGACUGAGAGUUUGAGACCAGCCUGCACUGUCUAGUGAGAUCUUCCCCCCACUACCACAAAGCCAAAAGCAGUGGUACUGGGGUGAGGGGUCAUUCAGGUCAUACCCAGGACCCUGAACAUGUGCCAGGUUUAACUCCUAAGGCACUGUCCCUAUGAUGUGAGAUUACAUAGUAACUUGGAGAUUUAUGUCCUAGGGAAAGAGAACACUGGAGAUUUUAUUUUACAGUCUCCACCAGUUUGUUGAAAUCUUAUCUAGCAACCUAAUCCUAAUUCUUUUGUGGUUUUAAUACCUGUAUAUGCACCAAACUCUCAAAUGCUCUUGAAAUCAGUUUUACAUCUUAUCUGUCUCUUCAACAUGUUAAUAUAUUUUUGACAUGAAGUCAUCAUAUUAAAAUAAAAGGCAAAUAUCACAGAAAAAAAAAAAGGUAGAGCUUUAGUUUCUAGCAGUACCAGGGGUUGAACACUGAGACACACCCUGAGGCCUUAUUUUGAGAGGGUCUCACUAAGUCACAGGUGGGGCUCAAACCUGCAGGUCUUUCGUCUCAGCCCCCUAGAGUGCUGGGAUCAGGUAUGAGUCAAGAGCUGUUUCAUAUUAUAACACAGAGACAUCCAACUAAGGACAGCACACCACUGCUGGAUGCGGGCUCGCCAAGCAGUUUAGUACGGACAGGAAGCAGAACGCAGCCUGUGCGUCAGAUACGCUGCGAGUGCCUGGGCCACAGUUUCGUGGUAACAGAAGAGCGCGUUUUUACUCAAACAACACCAAUGUGAGAGUUUUUAGUGUUCUCCCAUGUGUCCUCAAGCUCUAAGGGAUGUUGCUCUUUGCUUUCGAGGCUGGCUGUGACUGUUUUUCCUUUUCCUCUGUGUUGUUAGGAUCGGAACUUGUUUUGGUUGGUCCACUCUAAAACGCUAGCUCGAGAUUCUGUCCCUCACUUUGGCUACUGUAUUUUCAGGCAUGAAACCUUCACUUGACUUUCCUACUUUCUGUCUCUCUCCUAAUACUUUCCUCUUUUCCAGCUCGAGAGUGUUCACCCCUGCUCGUCAGAGCAUUUCUACAAUGGCUGCAUGAGUCCCUGCAGGCUAGUUUGGUUGGUCUUGGGGUCCACCUGGUAUCUGAGUGUGUGCUCCAUCAGCAGAGGGCCCUGGCUCCUCCCAGGACCUGGGUGGGUGCACUGUGCAUCGGGUGUGUGGAAUGCUGCAUUCGGAGACCCUAGGUCUCGUCUGUCUGCUGGCGUUGGGGUCAUCCAAGUGGAUUCGACCCCAGCUCCUGCCAAGUCUUCCCACGGGCUCCAAGCUCCGUGAUGAGCAGCCAGCCUGGGCCACAUGAGCUCUCCCAGGUUUGAUCCCUCCUGUGUGUGAGAGUGUGUGAGUUUGUGUGUGUGUGUUCAUUCCUCAGACCCGUGCAGCCCUGUCCUCUCAGCAGCGCCUCUGCUGCUUUCUUGUUGCCUGGUCUCCCCUCUUCUAAUGACGCAGCCACAUGCUCCCUGUAGCUGUAUCCUCACCAGAGCCAGGUGAGACUAAAGCACCCGGGGUUUGCCCACCUCCUUGGACAAAGGCCCCUCCCCCUCCGGCCGUCGCAGUGCCUGAGGAUUGGGUCCCUCCAGCCCCUGCUGCUGCUGUCAGCGUCGUGGCCAGGGUCUGAGGGUCUGAGGUAAACAGUGCAGAUGGGGCCCCUGCCUCUCCCAGUGUGCGCGCGGCCUACAGCCCACCCCCACAGCCUGGCAGGAUCCCUCUGUCCAUGUUUUUUUUUUUUUUUUAAUAUCAUCGGUACCGGGGAUCAAACUCACAACCACCUGCUUACAAGGCAGGCACUUAUGCCUGCUGAGCUAAAUCCCCAGCCCUCCUCUGUCCAUGUUAACAGCCCUUCCUGGGGUGAGGGCUCCCUGACCCUCUGGGUCUGGAAAUCCAUCUCAAUGCAUACUCCUAAUCCUGGCCACACUCUGCAGCCCACUCACAGGCAACGUGUGCGGGUCAGGUCUCCUGGCCUCGCUCUCCAGGAAGGCGGGCUACACCCACACCACCUCCCCGGAGCUGGUACCUGCUCUGCGUAAUUCUGUGAGGUCAUUCAGCACACUUCUGAAGUUCGAAGGACAGAUGAAGAGACCCUCCAAGUACCCCAAAUCCUCAGGCCUCAGAGAUGAGGAGAAGGAUGGCAUGCUGGGCUUCCCAGACCUGCCGCCUUGCAGACUGCCUAAGACCUAACAGCUGACUGGAAAUUCCAGGCCACUAGAGACAUUCCAGUUCCACACAGCCAAGCACAGCAGACCGCUGCCUCACCUCUACCCGAGUGGCAGCAUUUUAUCCCGUACACUGCAAUCCACAAGCCUGUCUCACCACUGCCACAGUCAGCAGCCACCUCAGCAUAUCCAAACACCUUUCUGCUCAACGUGGCUUCCUCACAACGAUGCUGGCUGCCCCAGCCUGAGUCCUCAGUGUUAGACGUCAAACAGUCACAAGCUCCACAGAUCCAGCCCUGACCUCUGGCCUCUGCUCACUUACAGACUUUCAUAUCUGCUCUUUCACAGCAACCUCCUGAAGGUCUUCAGACAGCUGGAUGCUAGGACCUGGGGUUGGGGCUCAUCCAGCCUGGGCACAGGGUGCCCCGUCUGUGCUCAGAAGCCUAAAGUCCUGCUGGGAUCCUCCAGGGGACAUGUGGCAAGGACACACCAGAGCGGCACUCCAGGGAGCUGGGGCUGCUGCACAGGAGACUGGAGAGGAGGAGAAGGAGGACCUGGAGGGGCAGGGGAGCUCAGUGAGGCUGUGCUGCUUGCAGCACCAGAGGUCGGGGCCAAGAGCCGACCACUGUACUGGGCAACUGGCCAUCGCCUAAAACACAGUGUCAGAAAAAUGUGCACAGCCAUACAAAAACCCUGUGUGAUGACUGCCCUCUGGGCUCCUUCCCAACAUGUGACGCACCCUGCAAUUAAUUAUUUGUAGAAUUACUGUUGAACUGUCCCUCUUGGCCCAUGGUAGACUAUAACUGAGGCCAGUGUCAGUCAGCCCUGCCUGCCCUUCACUGUUCUCCAGGAAUGGACCUAGUCAGCGGCUCAAAACUGUGGCACAAAAAGGCCAGGGAUCCAAGAAAGAAGCCCACCUUUUACUAACAGGCCAGCGUCACGCGUCUGCCAAGGGGACCAAAGCCCAGGUCCCCACAAACCCAGGGGAAAGGAGUCCGGUAGCCCAGGCAGCAUCACCCACACUCUCAACUUCUCCACGUUCCCAGCAGGUACCACCGCACGUGCAUGCUCUGCAGGGUCGAAGAUGACCACCCCAUGCUCCCUUCCUUCAUGGCGGGUGGACAGCAACAUUUCCUUUCCUGUAGUAGCUGUAAGACCACAGCUUGCAGCCCACCCGUGUUCCAUUCCCUGGCAGGCGUGAGCCUGAGGGCCAAGUUUCUCACAAAUGCUGGAGGCUCAUAGCACUGAUGACCUCCCUGCUCUGGUGAUCACACUUUGAAAACCAUAGUUUCAGAACCA